AGGCCGAAAGGCGUAGUCGAUGGGAAACAGGUUAAUAUUCCUGUACUUGGUGUUACUGCGAAGGGGGGACGGAGAAGGCUAUGUUAGCCGGGCGACGGUUGUCCCGGUUUAAGCAUGUAGGCUGGUUGUCCAGGCAAAUCCGGAUAAUCAAGGCUGAGGUGUGAUGACGAGGUACUACGGUGCUGAAGUAACAAAUGCCCUGCUUCCAGGAAAAGCCUCUAAGCAUCAGGUAACAUUAAAUCGUACCCCAAACCGACACAGGUGGUCAGGUAGAGAAUACCAAGGCGCUUGAGAGAACUCGGGUGAAGGAACUAGGCAAAAUGGUGCCGUAACUUCGGGAGAAGGCACGCUGGUGUGUAGGUGA
rnacentral:rRNA from 1 species